rnacentral:rRNA from 1 species
AGAGUUUGAUCCUGGCUCAGAACGAACGCUGGCGGCGUGCUUAACACAUGCAAGUCCAACGUGAAAGGGGAGCAAUCCCCUGGUAGGGUGGCAAACGGGUAGAGUAAUACAUGGGUGAUCUACCUUAGGGGUGGGGAGUAUCCUUCCGAAAGGAGGGGCGAAUACCGAAUAUUGUCCGGAGCCGUGAAGGGUUCCGGGGAAAGGGGAGGCCGUCUGACACAAGCUUUCGUCCUUAACGUAAUGAGCCCACUGGCCCGACUCAGCUAG